rnacentral:tRNA from 2 species
AAGGUUUUAAGUUAAUUAAACUAAUAAUCUUCAAAAUUAUAAAUAAAGCAAAUUCUUUAAGCCUUA